rnacentral:rRNA from 1 species
UACGGGGGAGCAAGCGUUGUUCGGAUUUACUGGGCGUAAAGGGCGCGUAGGCGGCGCAACAAGUCACUUGUGAAAUCUCUGAGCUUAACUCGGAACGGCCAAGUGAUACUGCAGUGCUAGAGUGUGGAAGGGGCAAUCGGAAUUCUUGGUGUAGCGGUGAAAUGCGUAGAUAUCAAGAGGAACACCUGAGGUGAAGACGGGUUGCUGGGCCAACACUGACGCUGAGGCGCGAAAGCCAGGGAGCAAACGGG